rnacentral:sRNA from 1 species
CUUUCUUUCUUUCUUUCUUUCUGCCCAGCUAACGGAUAAUUUUGGGUCUAGCUUCCUUUAAAAAUCAAAAAUUUUGGUAAGAUAGACAACCUUUGCCCUAUUGAUCCUUAACCAUUUUGUGAUGUGAAGACCCAGGCGCCGUCCUAACAGUGCAUUUCACAGUCUGCAUUGUACCUAAGUCGCUGAAACCUUGCCCCAAUUUUCAGGCAAUAGAUCUGGAGCCAGGAGUCAGGAAGAAACCAAUGGCCUAACGAGUUAGACGGACUAGACGGACGCUUUAAAUGGGUCAAAAAUCAACCGGUUAGAAGGACGAUGGGGUUUUAUUCUGUCCUUCUACCCUCACAUGACCUUGAAUCUCCCGUCUUGACCUUUAAGGAUGCGGGCCUUAGCUCUCUGCAUCUCGCCUCUGUAGUUGGUUCUCUUUCUCAAUCUCUUAGGACUAAUGCACGCCUGGGCGGUCCUUCCCUGCACUAAGGCACGCUACACACCAAGCUUUUCCCAGUCCCCGGGAGGAGGCGCUGGUGGCCGGGUCGCGCUUCUCCUUCCUCCCAGCCAGAGUUCUGGAGCCCCCAUUCACAAAGCCCUGCUUGCAAAGGGGACACACACACACACACACACACACACACACACACACACACUCACGCCCCACAUGCACUGCUUGGAGGGCAGUUUGAUCUUGUCUCAUUGGCGUCUCCGGCCUGAAAAGAAAAUCAUUUGGGUAAACAGCCAAGCUUCCAGGCUUAACGCCCCGCUCCCGCCUCCGCCCCUCUGUCCCUCCCGCCUCCCCCACUCCCCUUCAACCCCACCCGCCACCCACACUCGGCUCCGCUGCCGGGCCUCCAGCGAGCUCCUCGCGUCCGAGAGGGAGCUAAGGGCUCCCUGGUUCAAAGGGCCGCAGCCCCGAGGGGAUGCCCUCCUCGUAUGCCCCGGGGUGCAGAAGCAGACUGCAGGGCGGUGGGACCAGCCUGGGCCACGAUGACGUAAACCUCAGCAGGUGCCGGAAGCUGCUGGCUUCAGCCUUCCUUCAGCUCGAGUCUAACCGAUCCUCCGGUUUAUUUUUAAAAGUGCACCUUGGAAGUUUUAGUCCUGCCUCUAGAAGUGAAGCAGCUACAUCAGAAGGGUAAGUAACACAUCCCAACUCUCCACACGCUCCUUUGGAUCCUCAGACAGACACGUGGUUGGGUCGACAGAGCACGGGAAGUCAGUGUGUGCCUUGUGUGCCUGUAUGCAUGGCGCAUGAGUGUGGUGUGUGCUCCCACCGCGUGGAGGCUAGCUGAAGGUCUUGGGUGUUCUCUGUCACUACCUUCCUUAUUGUUUUGACACAGCACCGCUCACUGACUCUGGAGCUAGGCCAGCAGAUCGCAGUGUCUUCGCCAUGCUGGAUGCUUUACAUACUGUACCUAACUUCUUUGUUCUUAACCACGCUUUGGGCAUCAUUGCUCCCAUUUCACAGGGGAAGAGGGUGAUGUUAGGGAGGUACCACCUCCAUUGUCUUAGCUGUAACUGUUAUGAACAGCAGCAGUCACUCUAUUUGCCUCUGAGAAGAUCCUCUUCUGCAAAACAGGACUUCAAGAAUCGUUGAAUAAAUUUAUAAAUUGGACACUUUAUGAAGUAUAGGAGUUACCUUCAUCAAAGCCUUUGGAUAAAGGAGAAAACCUAUGUUCUACUUGUGGUCAAAAGACUAAUGUUCUACAUUUUUAAUAUCUAUAUUUUUGAGACUCUGUGUUUGUGUGUGUGUGUGUGUGUGUGUGUGUGUGUGUGUGUGUGAAGCCCCGGCUGCCCUGGAAAUUGCUCUGUAGACCAAGCUGGCUUCAAACUCACAGAGAUCUGUCUGCCUCUGCCUCUCAAGUGCAGAAAUUAAAGGCACGGGCCACCACUUUCCAGCCAAUCUUCUGUUUUUUUGCUACAAGGUCUCAAUGUGUAGCUCUGGCUGACCUGGAACUCACUAUAUAGAUCAGGCUGACCUAGCACUCAUAGGCGCCCACAUGCCUAUGCCUCCCAAGUGCUGGAAUUCUAGGUGUGUGCUAUAGUGCCCAACUAGAUAUUCUUGAUGACCAUAGAUAGAUGCUGGCAAGAUGGUUCAGUGGGCUAAGGUGCUGGUGACGUCUAAUAACCUGUUUGAUCCCUGCAAAUCUACAUGCUGUAAGGAGAGAGAACCAACUUCCACAAGUUGUCUUCUGACCCACACAUGCACACACAAAUAAAUGUAAUUAAAAAUCUAGAGGCACCGCCAAAGAGUGUCUGCAAUUUUAUGCAGAUCGUGUGUGUGUGUGUGUGUGUGUGUGUGUGUGUGUGUGUGUGUGUGUUUGUACACAUGGUUGCUUCUGUUCUUUGUCAGAUCAAAGGGAUUUCCAAUAUGGUUGACAAAGUUUUUCAAGUUUAAAAAACAACCAUAAUUUAUGGAAUAAUGAUAAUAGGAAAAAAUGAUUAGAGAAUAUUAGGGGCCUGAAGAGAUGGCUCAGCAGCGAGCUCUUGCAGGGGUCCUGAGUUUGGUUCCUAGCACCAUACGCAGCUUACAACCAUCUGUAGCUCUAGUCCCCGGGGGAUCUGGUGCCCUCUUCUGGCCUGUAUGGACACUUGCACACCAUGUAGUGCAUACAUACCUUGAAUCUUAGUACUCAGCCUGCGGAGGCAGGAGGAUCAGGAGGGAGUUCAAGGCUAGAUUCGGUUGCUUAAUGAGUUUGAAACUUGCAAGGGUUACACAGAGCAAACAAAGCAAAGCAAAACCAAAAAACGAACGAUAAGACAUCGGAUCCUGGGGUUCUAUACUAUCGUUUUCCUUAUGCACAACCAUCAUACUGUAUGGAUACUGAAUAAUUGCUGGGUGUUGCCCAGGAAGCAAAAUUCAGCCCCAAUAAGUGGAUUGCAAGAAUUAUCAGCACGAAUGACAGGAAACACGGAUAUCCCCAUAAAUUCAGUCGUCCUCGAGGUGCAUGUGGUAGCCUAUGUUGGUAUCUACUUAUGACAAAAGGAAUCUUCCUAUUGGAAUUGGGUAUUCCCCAGUGUGUUUCUCAGUAACCAUGUUCUCAUUGUCACUAUUUGAACACAUCCAGUUCACUCAGGGGAUUAAAAAACAAAGACACUUUCUUUGAGAAAGAAAGGAUGUGUGGAAAUGUGCCUCAUUUAACAACGUCUGCAUAAACCCUUGACUCGAUUAAUUUUAUUUGUUGAGAUUGAUAGGAGCAUCUUAUGGAAGGUGAAGUGACUUUCAUCUGUGCAUUAAGAGCGCAAUAAGCUCCAGGAGAAGCACCAUUGCAUAUGGUGCCACUUGGAACCAAAAGGCUGCAGCCCUCUAGGCUUCGUGGACCUGUAUCAAUCUUUCUGCCCCAGCAUCUCCAUAUCUCCUCCCUACCUACCACCCGUACCAACAUAUGCACUGUCAUGAUGGGAGAAAUGGAAGUUUUUUCUGCAUAAACAAUUUGUCCAUUGGCCGUUCUCUGAGUCUGCCAACCAGGUUGCCAAUUCUGAUGUCGACACCUGUCCAUUUGGAACAGGAAUGAAAACAGCCACUCAUUUCUGAGAGACCAUCAAACACCCUGUCUGUGAGCAACAGCUCUCCCUUAACUGCAAUCUGGGCAAGACAUGAGUGGGUCAGGCAGACAGAUAAUUGCCGAUCAGAUCCUCCAACUCUUUCCGUGUCCUCAACAUUGAAACUUUCCUAUCCCUUCAGUACGGUGCAGUUUGGGGAGAGUCACCAUCUUAGGGCUGUGUUAUGAGCUGCUGAGACUUCAUCCUGGUUAUGGAAUGGGAUCUCACUAUCAAGAUAUCAAGACUUGCUAGUGAGGGGAUAAAGUCAAUGGGCAUUUUCAGGUGGUUUUCAAGACGACGUUCUCCUUGUGGAGAAAACACAGAAAUGAUGUCCAAGCACAUUACAGUUAGACUCUGGGAAAUACACACACUUUUCCAUGGAAUCCAGGAUAUCUCUUAGCAACCCCACCCAUGUCUCUCUCUCUCUCUCUCUCUCUCUCUCUCUCUCUCUCUCUCUCUCUCUCUCUGUGUGUGUGUGUGUGUGUGUGUGUGUGUGUGUGUGUGUGUGUGUGCAUGUGAGUACGGGGCCCUUUUGACACUUCACCUUGUGCUUUUUCCUUUGUCUUGUGGAACCCUGUUCUCCUUUUUGUGAGGGAACAUCUUCCUGAAUCCUAUGUGGCAUAUAUUUUAGCCAUUGCGGCCAAUGGCUUGCAGAUGACAUAUCACCACUAAAGUGAACUUUCAGAGCAGCGUGGGCCCUGCCUUUGGGAGCUUCCUGCCUGGCACAGGCUGAGGACUAAUGUGGGUUUAAUGUUGUUAUGAGCCAGGCAGCUGAGCCGGGCAACAAUACGAGUCUGUUGGACAUGUCUUCUGGGUUGUCAUGUUCAAUUUGCACAUGACCUCCUGGCCAAAAAAUGGGAAAGAAGUGGUAGAAUGUGGGACUGAAAGCUCAUAUUAUUGCUUUGACAGCUUCACUCAUCUAGAAGUAAUGCAAAAUGCAAUUUAUAUUUAUAAACUCUGACCUCCUGCACAGAAAGGGAAAGUAUCUAAUGAUGGGCCGAGGUAGUGGAGGAAGAAACAGAUCUCAGUACAGCUGGAAUUUGUCUACGUUUCUGCUCUUCAACCAUUCAAUUACAGUCAAGAGACAAAUGAAGCAGGGACAGUGUGCUGGUGAGGUAGAGACACAAUUAUUUUAUAGUGACUGGCUUCUGGCUUUGAGUCUUGGCAAGGGAGGCCACAACACGCCUUAUUUCACUGGAGACAGAUAAUCUGCUUGCUCCCAUCGGACAAAGGCCCUCUGCUUGUAGGUGUGUCAUUAUGCCCAUCAGAGAGGAGAAAAGACACUGGCCAGUCAGUGACACUCCGGUAGGGUAUGCACUUGGAAGUUCUUGAGAGAGGCUGACAUGUUAAUCCUAUUAACCAAGAUAAAUCAAGUCAGGUCCGGUGGUAACUGGGGCAUUAUUCACUUUUGAGUGGAAAUAGGCAGAAGGCAGAAAGCAUCAUCUUCCUUUGUGGAUCAGGGAACUUACUGGCUUUUAUGUGUCCCCGAUUCAUUUUGAACAGAAUCCACCAGCUCACUGGGAGAAUGAGGACAUCAUUGUCUGAAUCGUCACAUGUGAACUGAGUAUUCCGACUAGUGUUUUAAAUGCACAGUAGUUUCUGUAAAAGUUGGCUGCCUGGGGCAGGGGAGAAAAUUCUGGGCUUUCCCUAAGGAUGUAAAGGGACAGAAGCAGCCACCUUCACAAAGCUGGUUAUGGUAUGGCAGAAAACUGUUAAGUUACCACUUUUGGUCUGCGUGAAGAGUCUUGCUAGAGACCCAAGGAUCAAACUUGAGAAGUGAACAGAGAGAAGUGGAACCGGGGCUGACAAGGUAGUAGAGUGUUGUAAAGUGUUUUCCCAUGUUGCUAGUGAUUCAUUUUUUUCUUCUUCUUUGGGGAGUUAAAAAAAAAAAAAACCUCUCCUGCUUAAAGGUUUCCUAGAUAGCAAACUUUUCUCUACUGUAUCUCCCCAUUACAUCUCACCGCUGAGUUCUUAUGUAGAAUGCUUGAAUACCUUUUUUCAAGCUGAGCACAAUAGACUCUCUGUGUAGAAUAGUGUAUGAACCGAACUCGCCAACAGAACCGGCUCAGUUUCUCUGUUGUAUCAGUUUAGGGCACAAAGUUUUCCAUCUCUCCUGGAAGGAAAGCAUCUGCAGAGUUCGGCUGGUCCAUUGCUCAGGUUUCCCACAUUUGGACAGUAUUGAUUUCAAGUCUUAGUAGCCUCUCAGUGCUAGAGGAGGGCAGUGUGAAGUGAGAGGAGCACACAGGAAUCAGAUGUGCGGGUGGUGUCUGUCUCCUUGGGGACCCCCAUGAGAGAUGUACUUAAGCAUAUCUUAUGUAUAUUGUGUGUAGGAUGUGCACUGUAGGUAAGGGAUGUACUUAUGGAUACUAUAUAAGGUAUAAGGGCUGGCCAGAAAGCCAGGGGAGGGUGGGAUGCUGUCUUGGAUGAAGACAGUCUCACAUCUAAACCCUUCUCUUUGGGAACACACACAAAAAAGUUCUGAGACUGAAAUGAAGAUGCAAAAAUGGGGAAGGGCCUGUCACAGGGUCCCCUAAUAUGACCACCAUCUCUUUGUCCCAAACUCGAAAUAGUAAUAUGGUUUCAGGAACUCUGCUUUGGUUCCUCUUUCCCAGUCCAGCUGCCCUCACUGACCUGAAUUCUUAAUUCUACCCCCACCCUGACCCCAGGUGAUACUACAACCACUGACUCCCUACACUCACGAGUGUUGAAGACACAGGCACAAGGUCUGGGAGAUUCUGGCACCACAAACACCCGUAGAAUACUGUAUAGUGACUUCUGGAAGGGGUGGCCAGGUAAGAAGUGGUUUCCUAAAUACAACAAAGUAGUUAUGGUCAGGAGUCUGUAAAGCCAGAAUACAGCUUCAGUAUCACACCAAGUGCCUUGUGGAACAGACUGUCAAGUCGGGAUACAAGCUCAGAGGCUGGGUACUUCCCAAGCAGGCAGGUGAGAUUUAGAGCGCUGUCCACUUUACCUGUUCAGAGGUGCCAUGGGGGGCAGAAAACCAUGCAUAGUCCUUUCUACUUUGACCCCAGGGUUUUGGAAAUACUGAUAGGACAGUUUGACUGAGGGAAAAGACGAAGCAUUUGGUAACUAAGCCUGGUGAAAUCUCCUGGGAUGUUGACUGUGGAGUGAUCCUAAAAUCCUCCUUUCCUUUCCUCCUUGCCCCACAAAGUGUUUCUCUUCCUCAAGCCCACUAUGUCCGAAGAGUAAAGUGUAAACAGGGACCUUUAUUUCAGGACUGCUUCUGAACAGAGUGUAUGAUGUAGCCUCACAGGUCCAGAACUUUCUCACCACCGAGCUCCUUGGUGAGGGCUUGGCAUAGAUGCAGGAAUGGGGUGUCUAGGGAUGCUACCCCUACCUGAGGCCUCCUAGAGCGCUAGGAGCCUUUGAGACGCUAAUGCUCUGCAGCCGGCCCUGCAGGAGUUAAAGCCCCAGACAGACAAAAGCGAGGCCGCGGUGGCUCCUUUUCUCGGCUGUCAGCUGCAAAUAGAACCGCUGCCCUCUGGACUUUAACUCCCGACAGAAAGGGCAUUUUAUUACAGGCUAUGACAAGUUGCAGGGAGACCGCGGAGAACUCAAUAAGAAGUAGCGGCGAGUGGAAUCAAAAAACGCUCGGAAUGUUUGGAAGACUGAGCGAAGAUGGCUCCAAAUGAUAGGUGUGAGCGAGAUUCAGGGUCGCGGCUGCGGGCUGGGCGGGGUGGGCGCCGCGCGGAGACACUGCCCGCUGCGGAGGAUCAGAACGCAUCUUGAGCCUUUCGUGGCCUUGCAACCGAUACCCAGAGCCCAUGGCCUACCCCAGCACCCUCUCUAUAGCCGCGGCUGCAGCUGAUUGUCUCCCAAAAGCUGGUCUUGUACCCUCCCCAAAUAAUCAACUUUGUGUUUUUCAAUCAUAGGAGGGAGAUGGAGGCUUCUUCCCGGGCUGUUUUCCUCAUGGUCUUCUGAGGGAAGAUGUCUUUCUACAGUCUACGUCCAGCCUUUUGCAAACUUGUGUUCGACUUUAUUCGAGAUUCGAGUUGUCCCACACUUUAUUCGAGAUUCGAGUUGUCCCACACCCCCUUCUCUGAGAGAGAGAGAGAGAGAGAGAGAGAGAGAGAGAGAGAGAGAACAGCGGCAUUUUUUUCUUCCAAGUUUUUAUUCUUUCUUUUCUUCUGGGCUUGCUGCUUAACAAAGUGGCCACAGUCUUAGUUGUCGAGUGUCUUUCUGAUUUCUCAGGGCUGGGUAAUGUGUCCCCCUGUCCUCCCCCCUCGUAGCAGUUCUAUAAAUGUUUCAAACCAUCUAUAUCCAGUGAAAACUCUCCAGACCUUUAGAGCUUCCACUGCUUAAAGUGCACUGUGGAGUAGGAGCCCCCUACACCCCCAUAAGCACCCCAGCUCGAUGUGGACCUUAUAGGAUUCAGGUUGGCUUGACGAUGGCAGCUCAGGUGGAGGAGGCUGGAGAAGGCUCAAGGGACUUCUGAGGAACCCUGUAACACAAAAGGUGAAGUGUGUUUAUCCCAACUUCAGCCUCAGAAUUCCCUCCAAGAGAGUCAGAGUUGGUGGUUGCCAAAGCUAGCCCCCUCACCCCCACCCCCAAGCUCGUUUGCUUGAAGGGUCCAGCUCAACCCAAGCCCAAAUUAGAAAGAUUUUUGACAGUAUUAAUCAGGGCACUGUGCGAAUUAUUAAAAAGAAACUGCAGUUUCCUCUUCCUUUUCCAAAACUUAUGAAAGAGAAGUGGAUGGGGGGCAAUCUUAUCUAAUUUGGGUGAUCAAGGCAGAGAGAAUAGAUACAUUAUAAAUUCACAGCGUAUGGCACAAAUGUUUCCCGCUUCCUGUGUCCUGCCUGGUAAAACAAAACAAAACAAAAUAAAGCAAAAGAUAGCUGGAAGCUUUGGGGUUCUUGUUUAAUUGGAGAAACUCUAUAAAAAAAAUCCAACAUUUAAAAAAUUAUGACCCCAAACAGGCAAGAUCUCGAACCCAUUUUGCCAGGUUCCCUCCACUACAUAAGAAAGCAGCGCUUCCUAACUUUGUUUUUUCAGCCCCCCUUUUAUGUCCUUUUCGGAACUAGCUCUUCUUUCUCUGUCAAAAUGUGUCUGAUUUUGGUAAAUAUUAAUUAUUCGUUCUCUCUGGAACCCUGUUACAGUCCCUAACCUCCUGGACCAGAGUAUAAACAGACCCCAUCUCCAGUGUCUAACAAAAGUCAGAGAAAGUUCAUUUGGUUAGAACUGGGUCUGAAGCAACACCCUGGGUCCCCAUUGGGUGCUGAAUCACAGCUGCAAAGAUGGAUAUUAAAAUUAAAUAGCCUCAAAACUAAGAACAUGGGGGGGCACUCCACAAGACAGAGGAUUUUUUUUUAAAACUAACAAUGAGGAUGUAAGAUGAAUGUAAUGAGAGAUUUUGCUUCUGUCCUGAUGAACCACUAGCAAUAAUUGAACCAUGAAGAGAAAACUCUGUUUCUCUCCUCUUGCUUUAUUUUCUUAGAAGUCUUUCAGAACUAAACAAAUGCAGGAAAGUUCUUCUCCAAAAGGCUGUCUGCUUACUACUGAUGGAGAGAGGGUUGUGAAAGGAUGUGGUUCUUUUCAUUUAAAGAAUAGCUUAUGAAACAAUUUUUUAAAACCUGUUUAAAAAAGUUCCUUCAUUAUUUUGAUUUUGAAAUGGUUGUGAGAGACAUUUUGUAAACGAAAUGACUUCCUUGGCAUGGUCUAUGGUAAUGUGUAUCCUUAAAUAUCUGAGAGUAUAAUAGGCACCAUUGGGGAAUAGGUGCCAGGUUGGGGAUUGUAUUCUCCGACCUUGUGUGUAUCUGGAAAAAGUAAAAAGCAAAACUUAAUAUUCAUGUCUGUGGUUUUUUCUCUCUCCUUCAAUUUGGAAUCUUGUUCCAAUUUAUACUCCAGAAUCUAACUCCAGUCUUUGAACUUUCAUUUCCUUAUCUGUGUCUAUGUACCACAUCCCCUCUGUUCUCCUGGAAAGGGCAAACUGUUGAAAGAAAGAGGCACACAUCUUGAAUUUCCCCCAGAUCCUUCUAGAAAGAAAAUGAACAGGGAGGGGAGGAUUUGAGGCAAAGGCAGUGGAUGCCUCUGAAAAACAGUUGUACUUAGAAGAAAGGUCACCUACCGACAGUCCAAGAAAGAAAUGUCAUGGUAAGUGAAAUUGCUCCGGUUUAGGUGGUCUUACUGUGGGAAGCAGAUGGGCAGGGGGAGUCUUUGGGAAUUGUAUGAUGGAGCAUGAAGCGAGAGCAAACUUGUAAGGAGCAAUCAAUUCGAAUGGGAUCCUAGGAUCCCUCCUCCAUUCCCAACUUUUGCAAACAUUUCAAGUAUCUUGCUGAAGUUCUGGAAGAUGGCCAGCAAGGAAAGACCAUUUGCUCUGGGAAUGCUGUAGGCUGUCUCACCUCCGUUGGUAUAACAGUUGGAGGGCAUUUGUUGUUUGCCGGUUUUUUUCCUUCCCUUCAGAGACUCGGAAUAACAAACUCAAGUGGUCGACCUCACCCUUGUCUUUCUUCCUUAGCAAACUUGACAACGUGGAAGAAACGUGACAUGUGGAUUAUUAAAGAGCAGCAGGCUGACUUUUAACCCUGGGUGCAUUGCUCAGACCCCAUUACCUGUGCAUUUAUACUGGGAGUGCGUUACAAGAAUUACAGGGUACUAAGCCACAAAGAGGCGAUGAGAAAGCAGAGGUAAGAGGUUGUAAAAAUAUCAGGGAAAGCAGGAUGUGUAUCUUACCAUUUUCAACCCUCAAAUGGAUGGAUAAUGCCUUUCAGAAAAUUAACUGCUCCUUUAAUACCGGGGUCAGUUUCUAAGUCCAAGGAGAAAGAGAUGAAUUUGAAAAAAGUGCACCAUCUUCACUCUGACUCUCCAUGUUUUCAGAGUUUCUUAGGGUUAAAAAAUCCUCUGUUUACUUAAACAAAUUCUUAGCUUCAGGAACAAAAGCCAUCUGCAAGGUUUUUCUUAAGGUCUUUUCUUUCAGAUACAAGUUCUACCUUCAUUCAGUUACAAGCACUUCUCAAACGGUGAGAAACUUUGUUGCUAUGGGUCAUGGUCCACAGAUGUUUCCUAAGUGAAAACUUUGUAAAAGUCAGAGAACUCAGAGAGUAUUUACUUUGCACUGCUAAUAAAAUGAUAAAACAAAA